rnacentral:rRNA from 1 species
CACGUAGUUAGCCGGGGCUUCUUAGUCAGGUACCGUCUUGUCUCGUUCCUGCUGGUAGAGCUUUACAUACCGAAAUGCUUCUUCACUCACGCGGCGUCGCUGCAUCAGGGUUUCCCCCAUUGUGCAAUAUUCCCCACUGCUGUCUCCCGUAGGAGUUUGGGCCGUGUCUCAGUCCCAAUGUGGCCGUCCACCCUCUCAGGCCGGCUACUGAUCGUCGCUUUGGUAGGCCGUUACCCUGCCAACUGGCUAAUCAGACGCGGGUCCAUCCCAUACCACCGGAGUUUUUCACACAGGAGCAUGCGCUCCCGUGCGCUUAUGCGGUAUUAGCACCUGUUUCCAGGUGGUAUCCCCCGGUAUGGGGCAGGUUACCACGCGUUACUCACCCGUCGCCACUAACGAUACAUCCUUCCGGAAUGCAAGCACUCCUUCUUAAUGCAUCCCCGUUCGACUUGCAUGUGUUAAGCACGCCGCCAGCGUUCAUCCUGACGCCAGGACUCGAAAACUCUACCG